UCCUGGUUAGCUCAGUUGGUAGAGCGCUCUCUUUGAAAUGGAAAGGUCCCUGGUUCGAUACCAGGACCAGGCU
rfam:Ixodes scapularis strain Wikel colony gcontig_1108379411188, whole genome shotgun sequence.